rnacentral:rRNA from 1 species
AAGUAAAAUUUGAUGAUUUAUAGCAAAAAAGUACCGUAAGGGAAAGGUGAAAAAGAAUUUUAGAAUUUGAAAUAGAACCUGAAACUUAACGCUGACAAUCAGUUGAAGCUUAACAAAAGUAACAACGUGCCUGUUGUAUAAUGAAUCAACGAGUUUAUUUUAGUGGCAAGCUUAAAUUGAAUUUAAAUGUAGGCGUAAAGAAAUUGAAUUUAAAAUUAUGUAAGAGUCUCUGAAAUAAAACCCGAAACUAAGUGAGCUAACCAUGAACAGGUUGAAAAUUUUAGCGGUAACGCUUGUUGGAAGACCGAACCCGUGUCUGUGGAAAAAUACUGGGAUGAUUUGUGGUUAGGGGUGAAAGGCCAAUCAAACUUAGAGAUAGCUGGUUUUCUGCGAAAUCUAUUUAAGUAGAGCGUUUAAAUAACUGUAUAAUAGGGUAGAGCACUCAAUAAACUAGGGGGACUUAACGUUUUACUGAAUUUAAUGAAACUCCGAAUAUAAUAUAUAAGAAUUUAAGCAGACAGACUAUGGGUGCUAAGAUCCAUAUGUCAAGAGGGAAACAGCCCAGACUACACGUUAAGGUCCCUAAGAAUAAUUAAGUGAGAAAGAUUAUAAAAAAAUUUAAACAACUGGUAGGUAGGCUUGGAAGCAGCCAUCCUUUAAAGAAA